GAAGAAGGAUGGUUAAUGGAACUGAACACAAAAAACGUUGAGGACGUUUUUGACCUGAUUCGACCUCAGCUAUCUUCA
rnacentral:tRNA from 1 species